GAUGAACGCUGGCGGUGUGCCUAAUACAUGCAAGUCGUACGCAUUCUCGUUUCUGAUUGACGGUGCUUGCACCUAAUUGACGAGACAUUGGAAUGAGUGGCGGACGGGUGAGUAACACGUGGGUAACCUGCCCAGAAGCGGGGGAUAACAUUUGGAAACAGAUGCUAAUACCGCAUAAAAGUCAAAACCACAUGGUUUUGAUUUAAAAGAUGGCCUUUGUGCUAUCACUUCUGGAUGGACCCGCGGCGUAUUAGCCAGUUGGUAAGGUAACGGCUUACCAAGGCAAUGAUACGUAGCCGAACUGAGAGGUUGAUCGGCCACAAUGGGACUGAGACACGGCCCAUACUCCUACGGGAGGCAGCAGUAGGGAAUCUUCCACAAUGGGCGCAAGCCUGAUGGAGCAACACCGCGUGAGUGAAGAAGGGUUUCGGCUCGUAAAACUCUGUUGUUAAAGAAGAACGUAUCUAAGAGUAACUGCUUAGGUAGUGACGGUAUUUAACCAGAAAGCCACGGCUAACUACGUGCCAGCCGCCGCCGUAA
rnacentral:rRNA from 1 species